CAAAAUAGUAUCCGAUAUCCGGUCGCGAGAGUAUAUAUAUGUUUAUCCGGUAUCCAGCUAUCGGUAAAAAUAACUAUCCGAUGCAUCUUUAAUUCAUACCUAGAUCCAGCAUUCAACAGUCUUUCUGUAGAAAACAUGAAGAUGGCGUAUUGACGGUAAAACUGUUCGACAUGAGUCAUCUAUGAGUUUUCUUUUUUUCCUCCAAGGACUACCUGGUGUUGAUUGAAAAGAGGGGAUCACGUACAGAUGGUUCUUUUUCGUACAGUUUCUUCAUCAGUCUAACUUUGCGCUAGAGUUCGUAAGCUUGGUCUAACAAUAAGUAUACAUAUACAUUAUUGUGCACGAAACAUUUGCAUUAACGUUACGAUUUUUAACAAGUUACUUUUACACAAGUCAGCAAUACCUUUUCAAGAUUUCAAAACGAUCCAUCAGUCUAUGAGAAGUUUGUGAAACUCUUUUACUGCAGAAAUUUAUACAGACAUUACGCCAUAUAUCAAGAUACUAUUUAUCAUCAAGAAAAAUGUUUUUGCUUAACAAUAAAAAUGACUGGAUGAAUUUCAUUAUGAUGCUAUUAGUAUGGAUAUAUAUGGUAACAGAAAAUAAAUAUCGUACCACUACUGCUUGGUCUAAUUAUCUAAUUUUGUUCGCUAUUGAUGCUGGAUUUAAUACACUUUUAAUUAUAAUUGCAUGGAAUAUUUACAAUUGGGUGAUCCAGAUAGCACAUAAACUAGGCCCAUGGUUGGAGAUCCAGAUAGCACAUAGACUAGGCCCAUGGUUAGACAUGUUAGACAUCCAGAUAAACUAGGGAUGCAUCGCCGGAUAUGACGGAUACUGGCCCGUACCGGAUAAUACCGGAUAGCCGGAUAUUUUUUUUAUCCGGCUGGAUAAUCUGAUGUUAACAUCAGAUUAACACCAUUGCUUAUUUUAAUCAGAGAGAAGGCUGAAAGCAACCAUCCUGGCCUUUUUCGAUCAUUAGCGACCAACGUCCAUUUUCGCAUAUGGAAUUAUAAAUCAUAUCAAUUUUGCGACACUGUUGGUAAAAAUUUUUUAUCGGCAUUGUUGCAAAAUUGAUGUGAUUUAAGCUUAUAGCACAUGAAAUAUUUGAUAUUACCUCUAAUAAAAAGACCAGACAAUCCUAUAUCGUGGUGGAAAAAACAUUUAUUCCGAAUUUCCAAAUUUAGAAAAUCUUGUUUUAAAAUAUUUAAGUGCUCCACCCUCCUCAGUAAAUUCCGAAAGGCUAUAUGUAUAUAUAGUUCCGCAGGAAACGUUUAUGCAGACAAUCGAAAUAAAUUACUUUUAGACAAUGCAAAAAUGCUAACUUUUAUAAUAAAAAAUUUAAAUAUUUAAUUUUUAAAAUAAUUGUUUAACAAUUGUUCAGAUUAGGUUGAAAAUGAAGAUAAUCAAACAUUGUUUCUAUCAAAAUAAAUAAAAUUUCGUUUUUUAUAUUUGAUUAAUAAUUUAACUUUUGCAACAUUUUCUGACGAAUAAUAUCUGGUUUAACCGGCAAAAUAGUAUCUAGCCCGAUUAUCCGGGGGGUAUCCAGCCGCGAGAGUAUAUGAUUAUCUGGUAUCCUGCUAUUCGAUAAAAAUCAUUAUCCGGUGCACCUCUAGAUUCGACUUUUUUUUUAUUGGAAAGAAUUAAAAUAUUAAUAGAUUUAUGGAGAUGCUGUAGGUUCUUUCAAGUUUUGCAGUACCUGUCGAAUUCGUAAUGAUUUUGAUGUCAAAAGCUGUUUAAAAUUUAGAUGUUAAAAAUUACUUAAUAUCAAGCUGUUUUUUAUGUUAAAAAUUUCUCAAAAUUAAACUAAAUUUUGAAUCGAUAUUGGAUUUCGACCCCUUUUCGAUUAUCAAAUUUUGUGAUCAUUUCGAUUUUUUAUUUCUCACUGGGUCAUUAGAGUAUCGUGCAACUUUUUAUAAUAUAUAAUAUUUGCGCAA